rnacentral:rRNA from 1 species
UACGAAGGAGGCUAGCGUUGCUCGGAAUCACUGGGCGUAAAGGGUGCGUAGGCGGGGUUUUAAGUCAGGGGUGAAAUCCUGGAGCUCAACUCCAGAACUGCCUUUGAUACUGAAGAUCUCGAGUCCGGGAGAGGUGAGUGGAACUGCGAGUGUAGAGGUGAAAUUCGUAGAUAUUCGCAAGAACACCAGUGGCGAAGGCGGCUCACUGGCCCGAUACUGACGCUGAGGCACGAAAGCGUGGGGAGCAAACAGG